GGUGGAGAGUUCCAAAGGGAUCGCAUUGAUCUGAUUCUUGUGGGUGGAUUCUGCACGAUUUGCUUCACAGCUUCACUUGUUAUUGGAUCAUGCGAUCCCUUAGGAACUUUCUAU
rnacentral:pre_miRNA from 1 species